AUACCUCUUCUAUCCUACUUGGAGAAAAAUGGGCGCUACAUACAAAUUUCCUAUCACAAUCCUCUAAAGGGAUAUAACCUACUCUAUAUCUGAGUGGGAUUCACAUUUUACACAGAACACGCAGCUGAUAGCCGGUACAUAAUAAUCUAUUCUCUUUCUCUACCACUACUAGCUAUCAUAUCUAAUAACUGAGUAGAUGCGACAACGUUGCACUUACCUGGUCCUGUGGAUCGUAGUAAGCGUGAAACAAACAAAAUAAGGUACAAUCAGGCUAAGUCAGUCAGUACUCAGUCUGCUGUGCGCCAGUGAUACAGGAGGUUGGACAUACAUGACAACACAUUGAGUGGUUAAGUGACAAUAGUUUCUUUCGUUGCUGAUUCAACUUAAAAUCUAUCAUCAAAAUGGAAUCCUGGUUGGUUGAUGUAAAAAGGGUCAGGAUCCCACGUCCAAAGUUCGGAAGUAGCAGGUGUUACCCUGCGGAACCCCCUAAGGACUAUUUCUACGAGGACAACAGGCUGGACGAUCUCAAAAUGAAGACAUCCCACCAGAACACCGGCCUGGCCAAGGCAACCGAAGACCUCAGAAGGGCGUUCCAGGAAAAACUUUAACUAUCGAGAAAACAAACCACAAACAGUUCUUCUUCUUAAUCUUUCACAUUUUGACAUCGAUAGUAUCCAGGAGGCAAAAUGGAAGGGAGUCACAAACAUGUUCAACAUCAUUAGAUCCUCGUAAUUCAACGAAUAUCUAAAAGACUUCUCUGAUAUUCAGAGUCCAGACCUGCAUAUUGAGGGAAAAUUGUUGAAUUCCUCAUCCUCCUUCCAUACUUCAUUAAGGGUGACAACAAAAAACUGUGACUGAAUUUUUGUGGUCCUUUUGGAGUGUUACCUAUAUCCUAAGCCGUCGACAUACCUAUUCUGACAUGUCAAAUGUCAAUUUCUUAUUAAUUUAACCCUUGAUUACAGUUAGAUUGUUUGAAUAGCAUUUCAUUGUUGAAUUUUUAAGUAUUUGAAGUACAUUUCUUGAUUUUAAUGGAUAACGAAUUCAUUUAUUGAGUAUUUUGAUCAAUGCAUGUGAGACUGGAGAUUUUCAUACGGUCAAUUCUGAAAUAAUUUGGUUGAAUGGUCAGAUGAAAAAAAGCCGAUUUAUGCCUAUUAGACAGUACUUUCUCAUUGGUGAAGAAAUUAAUUAUAGUCCUUUUUAACUAUCACAGAUUUUUCUCGAAAUUCAUAAUAGAUUCUUAAUAUUUGGUCUCUUCACAGCAAAUUUCAAAAUUCAUAAUUUAUAAUGACUCCUCAUUCAUAAUUUCCUGAGUUCGUACUAAAUAAAUGAUAAACUCUAAUAACCUGCAUUGAUAUUCACUAUUUGUUCGACUUUUUUUGCUUAAUUUCUCGUUUUAUGCUUAUGCCUAAUAUUAUUUUCACGACCAAUUCCAUUGUCAUCGUAAUUAUUUAUAUGGUAGUUCUAAUUUUAGUGUACAUAACUGUGAUAUACGUAAUUAAGUAUGUUGUUACGUGCUGUUUUUAUGACAGUUUGAUACAGCAUAAUUUUUCUCGAAAUAAGAUAUCGUAUUUCUAGAUUAUUUUGGUGUGCUUUACAUCUGUGUACCGAAUAAUAAUAAAAGUUUUGAGAGUUA